rnacentral:rRNA from 1 species
AAUUUUCGGCAAUGGGGGAAACCCUGACCGAGCAAUGCCGCGUGAAUUAUGAAGGUCUUCGGAUCGUAAGGUUCUGUUAUUGGGAAAGAACAGUAUAACUAGGAAAUGAGUUAUAUUUGACGGUACCUGAUGAGAAAGCCCCGGCUAGCUAUGUGCCAGCAGCCGCGGUAAUACAUAGGGGGCGAGCGUUAUCCGGAAUUAUUGGGCGUAAAGCGUGCGUAGGCGGCUUAUUAAGUCUGACGUGAAAUCCCACAGCUUAACUGUGGAGGGUCGUUGGAAACUGGUAGGCUUGAGUACAGUAGAGGUAAGUGGAAUUCCAAGUGGAGCGGUGAAAUGCGUAGAUAUUAGGAGGAACACCAGUGGCGAAGGCGACUUACUGGACUGUAACUGACGUUGAGGCACGAAAGUGUGGGGAGCAAAC